ACAACAGAGCCGGUCUAAUAUAGAACAAAGAAGCAUUUGCAAAGAGGAGAUUAACCUGAAACCUCAUUUUAUGGCGGUGUAAGUCUACAGAUAUUUAGACACGUCUAGACUGAACAUUUACAGAUGAUGGAAUAACGAUGUGAGCUCUGCCUCUUACAUGUCAAGAAAAAAUACUGUAGGAGAGGUGAUCAGUUCCCUUGCAGACGAAAGCCUACCAGCGCACUCACACAGGGCGAGAAAGGUGUGAGAGAGAGGUGUGUGUCCCUGAUAUGUUGUUUGCUCACCCACUGAACACUGUGUGCGUCUCAUGGCUGCGUCGUGGAAACUGCUGCACCGGGGCUUGAGUCACUUCCACAACACUGCAGUUGUCAGUCGCCUUCCCCACACCGACUGCUCGGCCACUAAUCUGCUGCGCCUAUUGUUGCUGAUCCUCAUCCUCUCUCUUCUUGCAUAACAAACUAGGUGGGUGUUUUCCUGCAAGCCACAGGAUUAACAGUGUGAAUGCAGAAGACCGAGGCGCGAGAAGAAAACACAUGAAGGAGGUGGAGGAGGAGGAGGAGGAGGAGGAGGAGAGGGAAAGAAGAGAAAAAAACAUCUUGGUACUUGCACAGUCUGUUACUUAGCAGCACUUAUGUUAGAAAUUAUGCGCAAAUGAUGAAUAAGAAAAAUAGAAUCCAGAAAUUCAACAUUUAACAGAUUUGAAUUUAUCUUCUUGCCUCUUAUUUAGUUGUAUUCCUGCAGGUUUUCGGUCUCAUACCUGACGAAAGGACUUGGGCUGUUUAAAUAUAACAAAACAUGUAGCCUAAAAAGUCAUUUCUGGAGCAUGUCUAUUGUGAGCAUGUCCUAUUAUACCUUCCUGGUAACCACUAAUUCCAGAUCAUGUCAGUUCGGGGUCAAAGUCCAUUUAUAGACGCUAAGAACUGCUUGAGGUUUUUGAGGAGAGUGAAUAUGUUGUGAACAGUAAAAUGUUUGCCGUUUUGAUGCUGAUCCUCAAAUCUCAGAGCACAUAUGUGUCAUAGGUGAGAAUGUACAUUCAACGAUAAAUAUAAAAUGCAUCAAGUUGCAUCCUGUGGAAUAAAAACCUAAAGGGAAGUCAAAACUGUAUGUCAAAGGAGUUACAGUGCUACAGGGAGGCUUUCUCCAAAAAUUAUUUGCUUUAUUGCACCUGUCAAAUUUUCAUUAUAUAUCUGAUAAGAAUCCGUGAGUCACAUAUUGUGUUAAAACAGACAGGUCUGUCUGAUCCCAGCGGUGCAUUAUUAGGAUACAGAGCGAGGCAGUCAGCUGGCCUUGUGUGAAAUGUUGCAGUCAGUGAGUCAUUCUUCCAGCCGGAGAAAGUGGUAAUGAACGCUCAGCUAAUUUAGAACAGCACACCUACGUGGUGCCGAAAUAGUUUCGAGAACAAGAGGGUGACAGCAAGAGAUGCACGGAGAGGAGAGAUACUCAAAGAAGUGAGGAAAGGAGAUUGUAAGGGCGGUGAAAGAAAAGCAAGGACAAAUAAUUUAGACCAAUGUCCUGUCUUUGUGCUCUUUCAUUAGAGGCGCCCACAAACCUAGAUUCUGUGAGCUAAAAACACACAACAUUGCCUGGAUAAGGUGCGAUUUUGUCUGUAUUUAUUCACCUCACACUGCUCUGAUGUAAUAUGUUUAUAGACUGUUAAUGUCAGGGCAUAAACUCAGAGGAGACAGUUUUGUUGCCAAGACAUUGCCAUAAUUUCUUUCAAGUUAAUUUGCUAUUUUGAGACAUUCUAGGUAUUGACAUUAGUUUCACUAUUGACUUCUACCAGAUAUGUCAUGAAUCUCAGAAAAUAACAAAAAAAGGUCCAGCUAUCCUAGUUUUCUUGAUCUUGAAGUGUCCAAGGGCUGUAUUUCCAUCAUUUUUCUGCAAGAUGAAUUUAAACAGAGCAAGUUCAAGACUGAACACCAGAAACUGAUGAUGGUUCGCUUGACAUGUUAAUUCGUCGAUUUAGAUAAUGGUCUGCGAUUGGAGCACCUCUUUACUUCGAAACCCAGGGUCGGAUUUUGGCUGUUACAUAAAACGAAAUGGAUGAAUAAUCAAGCAGAUUCAUGCAGUGUGGAAUGAUUCACCAGCGGAGAAGAGAAAAUAACAAUGAACACUGUGUAGGUGUGUGAUGAAUGAAGGAAUUAGUAUAGUUACAUAUUGUGUAAGAAGUUUAAAUUUAAAAGAUGUCAUAAAGCUACAAUCGCACAGUGAACCAUUAUAUAACAUGACAUGAAGGUAAAUGAAGAAAAUCUCUCCGAAAAUAAACUGAACAAUGAAGAGAAGUUGGA